rnacentral:rRNA from 1 species
GGGAAUAUUGCACAAUGGGGGAAACCCUGAUGCAGCGACGCCGCGCGAGUGAGGAAGUAUUUCGGUAUGUAAAGCUCUAUCAGCAGGGAAGAAAAUGACGGUACCUGACUAAGAAGCCCCGGCUAACUACGUGCCAUCAGCCGCGGUAAUACGUAGGGGGCAAGCGUUAUCCGGAUUUACUGGGUGUAAAGGGAGCGUAGACGGAUAAGCAAGUCUGAUGUGAAAAUCCGGGGCCCAACCCCGGAAUUGCAUUGGAAACUGCAUAUCUAGAGUGUCGGAGAGGCAAGUGGAAUUCCUGGUGUAGCGGUGAAAUGCGUAGAUAUUAGGAGGAACACCAGUGGCGAAGGCGGCCUGCUGGACUGUAACUGACGUUGAGGCUCGAAGGCGUGGGGAGCAAACAGG